rnacentral:rRNA from 1 species
GUGAGGAAUAUUGGACAAUGGGCGCAAGCCUGAUCCAGCCAUGCCGCGUGCAGGAAGACGCAUCUAUGGUGUGUAAACUGCUUUUGUACGGGAAGAAACACUCCCUCGUGAGGGAGCUUGACGGUACCGUAAGAAUAAGGAUCGGCUAACUCCGUGCCAGCAGCCGCGGUAAUACGGAGGAUCCAAGCGUUAUCCGGAAUCAUUGGGUUUAAAGGGUCCGUAGGCGGUUUAAUAAGUCAAUGGUGAAAGCCCAUCGCUCAACGAUGGAACGGCCAUUGAUACUGUUAGACUUGAAUUACAAGGAAGUAACUAGAAUAUGUAGUGUAGCGGUGAAAUGCUUAGAUAUUACAUGGAAUACCAAUUGCGAAGGCAGGUUACUACUUGUGGAUUGACGCUGAUGGACGAAAGCGUGGGGAGCGAACAGGAUUAGAAACCCCGGUAGUCC